rnacentral:lncRNA from 1 species
AGAGAUUAUAAAAGAAGUGGUGAGUAGGACUCCUCUUGGUCGUGUUGGAGAGCCCAAUGAAGUUGCAUCACUUGUGGCUUUCUUGUGUCUACCUGCCGCUUCAUAUAUUACUGGUCAGAGCAUUUGUAUUGAUGGAGGUCUCACUGUUAAUGGCUUCUCCUAUCAGCCAAAAGACAUUUGAAUCUCUUUAUUUAAGGGUACUUUUCUCAUUUCCUAAUAUGCCAAAAGACAUCAAAGUGGCAUUUCUAGAAAGGAAUAAUCAAAAGUGGCAGUUUGGUUGAGUUUAAUUUCAAAAGUGGCACUUCCAAUAAAAUUUGUCUAAAGAAACUAAGCAUUACCUUAUAAAGUCAUACAAUGGGUGGUUAGCUUUGAGGGUAUUGGUAAAACAAGAAACCUUGCAAGAAGAUGUUUCCUAUAACACAGAGUAAGCCUUGCAAAAAACAAAGUAUGAAAAAGCAUGUCACAGCUUAGACUCAAACAAAAAAGAUGGGGCUUCGACACUCAUCAACUUAUGAAUCUUAGUCGAUCAAGUCCAAAAGACUUUUGGAAAACACAAAAAAUGUGUUUAUAAAAUUUGUGAACCAUAUUGACUACUUAUCUUACACAUACUUAAGUCAUUGUUCUCUCACACGACUACAUAAUAUUUCCACCACACAUACAAAUUCACACUUAUCUUAUAGAAAUUCAUUGUAUACAUAAGAUCAGUGGCAUUUCUAGUCACUGCAAGUAAAAAUUAAAAGAAAAAAUGGAUAAAAGAUGGAGUCUUCAAGGUAUGACUGCUCUUGUGACCGGUGGCACUAAAGGAAUCGGGUCAGUCCCUAUUUGUAUAUGCUCUUUUAUUGUAUUGUGAUAUGUCUAGUAGGUAUGGAAGAAGAAACCAAGUCACUUACUAUGUUUGUUUGUGUCGUGAAUAGGAAAGCUGUGGUGGAGGAACUAUCAAUGCUGGGAGCAAGAGUCCACACAUGUGCAAGAGAUGAAACUCAGCUUCAAGAACGAUUACGUGAAUGGCAAGCAAAAGGGUUUCAGGUUUCCACUUCUAUCUGCGAUGUUUCUUCCCGUGAGCAACGAGAGAAACUCAUGGAAACCGUUUCCUCUCUCUUCCAAGGAAAACUCAACAUUUUGGUAAGUAUACAUAUAUAAGCUUCUCCUUAUUAGGCUUGGGAUGUACAAGAACCAAAUUUAAUGUUUUGUUUUGUUUUGUAUCUAUCUAUCUAUCUAUACAUAUAUAGGUAAACAAUGUAGGAAACUUUAUAGUCAAGCCGACUACAGAGUUUACAGGAGAAGAGUAUUCGUUCAUAAUGGCUACAAAUCUCGAGUCAGCUUUUCAUCUCUCACAACUCUCACACCCUUUGUUGAAAGCAUCAACCUCAGGGAGCAUCGUGCUCAUGUCCUCCAUUACUGGAUUAGUGCAUGCCAAUGUUGGAUCCAUCCAAGGAGUAACCAAAGGUACUGUAUAUACUCUUUUGAAACAAUGUUUCCUUGCGUUAUGAUUCUUAUGCAAGUAUAUACAAACACAUUUCAGGAGCCAUGAAUCAGCUGGCUAGAAACUUAGCUUGCGAAUGGGCGGAAGAUAGCAUUAGGACUAAUGCUGUUUGCCCAUGGUAUAUAGCAACUCCUUUAGCUAAAGAUGUAAGGCCUAUUUUCUUCUUAAUUAGUAGUUUAGUACUACUGACUUUAAUAUUACUUUUGUCCAUUUGUUACUUUUGAUUUUAAGUUUCAAGUAUUGUGAAAAUAUGAUAGCUUCUUGAAGAAGGAGAGAUUAAAAAAGAAGUGAUAAGUAGAACUCCACUUGGUCGUGUUGGAGAGCCGAAUGAAGUUGCAUCACUUGUGGCUUUCUUGUGUCUACCUGCAGCUUCAUAUAUUACUGGUCAGAGCAUUUGCGUUGAUGGUGGUCUCACUGUUAAUGGCUUCUCCUAUCAGCCAAAAGACUUUUGAUUCUCUUUAUUUAAGGGUACUUUUCUCAUUUCCUGAUAUGCCAAAAGACGUAAAAGUGGCAGUUUUGUUGAGUUUUAUUUCAAAAGUGGCACUUCCAACAAAAUUCUCUCUAAAGAAACUAAGCAUUACCUUAUAAAGUCAUACAAUGAAUGUAUGUAAAACAAGAAACCUUGCAAGAAGAUGUUUCCUAUAACACAGAGUAAGC